UACGUAGGGUGCGAGCGUUUAAUCGGAAUUACUGGGCGUAAAGCGUGCGCAGGCGGUUUUGUAAGCCAGAUGUGAAAUCCCCCGGGCUCAACCUGGGAAUGGCAUUUGGGACUGCAAGGCUGGAGUACGGCAGAGGAGACUGGAAUUCCUGGUGUAGCAGUGAAAUGCGUAGAUAUCAGGAGGAAUACCGAUGGCGAAGGCAGGUCUCUGGGCUGAUAC
rnacentral:rRNA from 1 species